UACGAAGGGGGCUAGCGUUGCUCGGAAUUACUGGGCGUAAAGCGCACGUAGGCGGCUUUCUAAGUCGGGGGUGAAAUCCUGGAGCUCAACUCCAGAACUGCCUUCGAUACUGGAGAGCUCGAGUCCGGGAGAGGUGAGUGGAACUGCGAGUGUAGAGGUGAAAUUCGUAGAUAUUCGCAAGAACACCAGUGGCGAAGGUGGCUCACUGGCCCGGUACUGACGCUGAGGUGCGAAAGCGUGGGGAGCAAACAGG
rnacentral:rRNA from 1 species